UACGGAGGGUGCAAGCGUUACUCGGAAUUACUGGGCGUAAAGCGUGCGCAGGCGGUUUUGUAAGUCUGACGUGAAAGCCCCGGGCUCAACCUGGGAAUUGCGUUGGAGACUGCAAGGCUUGAAUCUGGCAGAGGGGGGUAGAAUUCCACGUGUAGCAGUGAAAUGCGUAGAGAUGUGGAGGAACACCGAUGGCGAAGGCAGCCCCCUGGGUCAAGAUUGACGCUCAUGCACGAAAGCGUGGGGAGCAAACAGG
rnacentral:rRNA from 1 species